AGCAGAUGUAUAAAGAAAACAACAUUGCAUGUUUAAAGAGACAUGAAAGAUAUGAGAAGGCUCAAGCAGACAUGUCAACCAAGAGAAACUAUGUGUUGGCAGUGAUGCAUCAGACACAGAUGAUGAGGCUAUGACGAAUGCUAUUACUACGUCACCAUCAUCACCACAGUCAUUGGGUUGGUCAGAUGGAGAGAGGCUGCUGGUCAAGGAGGUGUCUGUCCCACCGCAGCUAACAGAAGGUAAAUUGGAUGGCGAGAUGGAGCUGGUCAAGAAGAUCUCUGAAGGUAAGC